UUACCGCACAGUAGCAUCCCAGCAUGGUUGCCUAGUGACACUUACUGCGCAGUAGUAAUGAGCUACUGUGCAGUAAGCGUCACUAAGCAACCGUGCCGGGACACUACUG
rnacentral:pre_miRNA from 1 species